rnacentral:lncRNA from 1 species
AUCACGGCCCCGAAGGCUCGAGAGGACCGCGACCACCGCAAGCCGAGCCGCCGAGCCGCCCAGCCGGAAACCGCGAGGAACCGGCUUUCACGGCCCUGGGGCCUGGGGGUCGCGGUACACCUCCAGUAGCACGUGCAAGAGAAGACAAGCCCAAAAGUCAGAGCGGUUACCGGGUUCUCCUGGGAACGCUUGUCAAGUCCAGGACGGCGAGGCGGCCGCGCAGGCUGAAGCCACGUACUGUAGACGCCCUGACUGCAGACCUCGCAGGGCUCCUUUGGAGCUUCCUGCAGCUCUUGGGACUGCCGACCGUGAGCUCAGACCACCGGGGCCGAGCCAGGCGGACUCUAUUCUGGAAAUGAUGGGAGGGAUUUGGGAUCCGUCUAACCCCUCAAGGCGGUGGGCCUCGAGAAGUGACCUCGCGAAACUGCAAAAGGGACCGUCCUUGCGCUCUUCUCCCGCACGUCCCUCUUACACAUUUUCAUUCAUAAGCCAAACCCACUGAGCUGUUACCGUCUUGCCUCAGAAGAUGUAAAGGAAGAUUCUGUCACUUUAUUUCCCGCACUCGCUAGACCGGCACAUAGUUACGGUCUAUGACAGUUAAGGAGCUUCCUUUUAGUGACCUAGCGUGGCCAUUACAACAUCACAAUGAAGUAAUGGAAGCAAGAGACAACAACAUGGAUACCAAGUAGUACUUGGAGAACAUGGAGAGCGCAGAACUGGUAUUCGCGAAUCACUGACUUCAAAGCUCACGUGUAUGGAGAUAGCAAAUAGAGCCCAAUCAGGGCCACGCAUCAUAAUUCCAUCUUAAUUGAGUGGGAACAAUUAUUUUUUAUAUUCAAAUACACAAACUUGAAAAAGUACUGUCGUUAUAGUGGGAUCAUUCGUAUUCAUUUAAAGAUGUCUUUGUAAGGGUGCCUGGGUUGCUUAGUCCACUAAGUUGGACUCCUGGUUUUGGCUCAGGUCACGAUUUCAGAGUCAGGACAUAGAGGCUCACCUCUAUGUACGUUUGUAGGUUUCCACAAUCCCCAUGAAAUCAGCUUGGCAUUCUCUCUCUCCUUCCC